UACGUAGGUGGCAAGCGUUAUCCGGAAUUAUUGGGCGUAAAGCGCGCGCAGGCGGUCCUUUAAGUCUGAUGUGAAAGCCCACGGCUCCACCGUGGAGGGUCAUUGGAAACUGGGGGACUUGAGUGCAGAAGAGGAGAGCGGAAUUCCACGUGUAGCGGUGAAAUGCGUAGAGAUGUGGAGGAACACCAGUGGCGAAGGCGGCUCUCUGGUCUGUAACUGACGCUGAGGCGCGAAAGCGUGGGGAGCGAACAGG
rnacentral:rRNA from 1 species